rnacentral:rRNA from 1 species
UACGAAGGGGGCUAGCGUUGCUCGGAAUCACUGGGCGUAAAGGGUGCGUAGGCGGGUCUUUAAGUCAGGGGUGAAAUCCUGGAGCUCAACUCCAGAACUGCCUUUGAUACUGAGGAUCUUGAGUCCGGGAGAGGUGAGUGGAACUGCGAGUGUAGAGGUGAAAUUCGUAGAUAUUCGCAAGAACGCCAGUGGCGAAGGCGGCUCACUGGCCCGGUACUGACGCUGAGGCACGAAAGCGUGGGGAGCAAACAGG